GAGAUUUCCCACUUCUAUUCAUAUGUUAUUGAAAGUUUAUCUUUAAUUUUAGUGUUAAUAGUUGUUUACCCAUUUAUUCUUUCCAUUUAAUUGUAUUUUAUGGUUUUACUGUUUCGCUGAAGUGAAGCUUAAAUGAAAGACAAAAGCAUAGUGUUCUCAGACAUGAUUCACUCAGUACAUUUCCUCUGUACCUGGCUCUCUACGAGCCGUUUCACUCCCAGGAAGGGGAGAGCAGGACGUUCUUAUCUAUACACUCCCAAAUAGCAAGAGGGGCCCAUUCUUCAGAAUCACACACACACACUCUGAGAUCAUAAACUUCACACACACACACAUACUCUGAAACGCUAUAAAUAAAGAACUGCCGCAUACGCUGGUUGUGAGCCUGAGACAGCAGCGCUCACCCAGCGUGCGCACGUUGUUACCAUCUAAACUGUCUUGAGUGUCUUUAUUUCGCCUGAAGAAUGUCUUGUUUAAAUAUUUACUCCUUACAUUUAUUUGGUCCUCCGAGCCGGAUUCUGGACAUUGAAUUUUAACUAAUUUUGUGCUCCAACAGAGUGACCUCGUCGUUUCCUGGAUUCGUGAACCCACGCUGCAAAGUCUGUCGCGACAGCCUGUUUCUAGUGAAACAGUAAAGACCAACUACGUGAAUUCGCCGUUGGCCAGCGUUUUUAGCAAGAGGUCCACGAUCCCAGGGAGCGAGGAGGAUUCUCUCUGACCGGCAUUUUCGUCCGAACCAGAGCAGGAGCUACAUGAGGACACAUCAGAGGGAGGGAAACAGCUAUUAAAGCUCGAACAUGCAGCUGUCUGUGAACCCAGUUUUCACCCUCACACCCUGAUCUGUUUUUAACAGCAGCUUUUUGCAUCCUGUCUCAUGUGUGUAAAGCGUUCAUGCCAUCAGCAACUUGUUUUUGUUUUUGUUUGUUUCUUGAUGUUGCUUGAGUGAGGAAUACUGUGACUUCUGAAACAGCUCUCUUCAUGCAACUUCAUGCUUGAUGAUGAUAAUUUCAGAGCCAGCUGAGAGCUGGGUUGAGAGCGAUGCUUUGUUUUAAGUGA